rnacentral:rRNA from 1 species
GAUGAACGCUGGCGGCGUGCCUAAUACAUGCAAGUCGAGCGAACGGACGAGAAGCUUGCUUCUCUGAUGUUAGCGGCGGACGGGUGAGUAACACGUGGAUAACCUACCUAUAAGACUGGGAUAACUUCGGGAAACCGUAGCUAAUACCGGAUAAUAUUUUGAACCGCAUGGUUCAAAAGUGAAAGACGGUCUUGCUGUCACUUCUAGAUGCAUCCGCGCUGCAUUAGCUAGUUGGUAAGGUAACGGCUUACCAAGGCAACGUUGCGUAGCCGACCUGAGAGGGUGAUCGGCCACACUGGAACUGAGACACGGUCCAGACUCCUACGGGAGGCAGCAGUAGGGAAUCGUCCGCAAUGGGCGAAAGCCUGACGGAGCAACGCCGCGUGAGUGAUGAAGGUCUUCGGAUCGUAAAGCUCUGUUAUUAGGGAAGAACAGAUGUGUAAGUAACUGUGCACAGCUUGACGGUACCUAAUCAGAAAGCCACGGCUAACUACGUG